GAGAACGACUAUACCAAUAUGACAUCACCGCUUCCCGUUUGCUCAGCCAAGUUAAGCAUGUUCGGGCCUGGUUAGUACUACGAGAGGAAUCCCAGGUGUUGUUCUCA
rnacentral:rRNA from 1 species